ACGAAGGGGGCUAGCGUUGCUCGGAAUCACUGGGCGUAAAGGGCGCGUAGGCGGCCAUUCAAGUCGGGGGUGAAAGCCUGUGGCUCAACCACAGAAUUGCCUUCGAUACUGUUUGGCUUGAGUAUGGUAGAGGUUGGUGGAACUGCGAGUGUAGAGGUGAAAUUCGUAGAUAUUCGCAAGAACACCAGUGGCGAAGGCGGCCAACUGGACCAUUACUGACGCUGAGGCGCGAAAGCGUGGGGAGCAAACAGG
rnacentral:rRNA from 1 species